UACGUAGGGGGCAAGCGUUGUCCGGAUUUAUUGGGCGUAAAGAGCUCGUAGGCGGUUUGGUAAGUCUGGUGUGAAAUCUCCACGCUCAACGUGGAGGGGCCAUUCGAUACUGCCGUGACUCGAGUCCGGUAGGGGAGUGUGGAAUUCCCGGUGUAGCGGUGAAAUGCGCAGAGAUCGGGAGGAACACCCGUAGCGAAGGCGGCACUCUGGGCCGUGACUGACGCUGAGGAGCGAAAGCGUGGGGAGCAAACAGG
rnacentral:rRNA from 1 species